CUGAAGGCGGGCAAUGGCGUCGAAGGUCACAUAGAAAAUGUCGGAUCAGAGAUCGGUGACGGCCAGAUGUUCCUCGUCUCGGCUCUGUUAAGCAGAAGAAAUUCAUCGCCCCCUGCAAAUACAACUCAAAUCUAGACCACAAUUAGUGGCACUUGGACAUAAAUCUAUUUGAGGAAUGCAGCUUAGGCCACAAAGCUCUCUUCUUUCCAUCGACACCGAACUAGAUGCCGAAUCGCUGAUACUGAAAUAUGCACACAAGAAUAGGGUGGGACUUUGGAGUCCUUGAGCUGAGCCUGUGCAAUCAUAAGGCUCUCCACAAGAUUGCUGUUGUGUCGAGGAACAUUUUCACAUGUAUUCCUCUUGAAGAGCUUGGGACCGGUAUCUGUAGAAAGCUCUUGUUCUCUUCCCAACUCUGUCAGGUAAGCUUUUAGCGGAAUAGGCUGAAGCAUCAGAUGCAUAAAGUCUUUGUUUUAUUAUGCAAACAACUGGUUUGGUGAUCUAAUGCUGGUGCCAUCUUUCUGUAUCUCCUGCUUAUUUUAAGCAUAAGCCGAACAGAGUGCUUGUGCAACUAAAUGACAAGUUUGGUGCCCAUA